UUAGAACUGCUGCUCCCGAGG
rnacentral:miRNA from 1 species